UACGGGGGGGGCAAGCGUUGUUCGGAAUUACUGGGCGUAAAGGGCUCGUAGGUGGCCAACUAAGUCAGACGUGAAAUCCCUCGGCUUAACCGGGGAACUGCGUCUGAUACUGGAUGGCUUGAGUGUCGGAGAGGAUGGCGGAAUUCCUGGUGUAGAGGUGAAAUUCGUAGAUAUCAGGAGGAACACCGGUGGCGAAGGCGGGUCUCUGGGCCGAUACUGACGCUGAGGAGCGAAAGCGUGGGGAGCGAACAGG
rnacentral:rRNA from 1 species